CUACUAAACCCCUGACGAUGUUCCAAGGUGGAAUAUUCCAAUGACCUAGGAAGCCGAGCUCAAAUCCGGGACUCCUGGAGCGGAAGGAGGAAGAGGGAGGGAAGAGGGCCAGCAAAGCUGGACUUCGCACAACCUUCUGGAGAAAGAUGCUUCUCCGGGGUUAAUUGGCUGCAUAUUUGGUCUUCCAGAUUCUUCCUGCAUGGGGCAGGAAAAGCCUUUACUCUGUCACUGUUUGGAACUAAUUAGAUCUGUGAGCAGCAGAAAGUCUGUCUUCAAGCUUGCAAGAUGACUUCACGGAGCAGUGUCAGCGAGCUGGCCAGGCCCUCAUAGAAGGCACCCUCGGAGUCGGAGCAGGGCAGGCAGGGAGCCAGCAGGACGCGCCACUCCUUUGGUCGGGACCUGCGAUCCCUGGGUCCCCUGUCCCCAGACAGCCAUGCCUCCCUGGGUCGUUCACACGCAGCCCCCGAGGCUGGCGAACAGCUUGGCCUGAAGUGAAGAGCUGUGGGAAGAGAAGCUUGUAGACGGAGCAAGCGGAAUGAAGACCAGGUGGGCGGGGAAGGGCGGACCGGGGACCCAGACCCCACCUCUGCCUGUGGCUGACUCAGGACUCUGGGCAGUGUCUCACCUCAGCAUCCCCGGUGGAUCCUGACAGCUACCUUCCUGGGCUGGGAAGACCAGAGGGGAUCAGUGGAAGGGGUCUGAGCCGCUCACGAGCGGUACCUGGAGCUCAUUCUUAUCCCCAAAUUAAGAAGGAAACAAGGUUCAGAAAGGCCCUCCACUGGUGGAUCAAGCAUCAGCUGCAGGUUUUCACCUGCAACUUCAGAGGUGCCCUUUCCCUCUGCUAUCUGGAACCCCCCACCCUGGUCUUAUGCAGGCCCAUUUACAGAUGAGGAAAUUCCACCCAGGGCCCCAAGCCCAUGUUCUGUCAUGCGAGACAGCCCCCCAAAACCCUAAGGGAAAUGGAAUUCCUCGCCCAGCUGGUUUUGGGGGCGGGAGGCUCAGCCUGGGGAGAGAGGGUGUGGGAGGCGGGUGGGGACAGCAGAGCCCCCCCAGACCACAGCGGGGAAGCCCCAGCUCCGCAGGAAGCUGUGAAGUGCACAGUGUGUUCUCCCAAGAAAAGCAACCACAGGAGGCCUUUCCCCGUGGCUGCGUCACACCAGGCAGAACUAUGAAGUGGCUAUUAAUGUUUGGGAUUUCGUAAAUUAUUUUAAUUGAAAAGGAGGCUGCGAGAGUUCGUCUGUUCUCCUAACUGGCAGGGCUCCCCAGCGGUGUGCAGCCACCUCGAGCCCCACUGUUUUCAUGACCCACGACCCUGUUCUCGCCCAGCACCGGCUCCUACGGGUCACUCCCCGGGAUGAAAAACAAUAAAAUAGUUUCUGGGCCGCGGCUCCGAGCGUGAGGAGACUGCACCGGAUCACUCUGCAUGCGACGCCCGGAGAUUCGCGUCAGAGGGUUGGCGUAACUCCGCAAUCCCCCGAAACCCCUACGAGGAGUCUGGAAGCCCACUGGACGUGACCGUGGAGAUGCCAGCGGGUCCAUUCUCAUUGCCGCCUGCCGGGUUUCUAGGCUACUCAAUGUCCUGGCCCAGUUGGGUAAUGUUCCUCCCGUGGAGCUGGGUUUAGUGUGCACUGUGACAGGUUCACAUCUCCAUGGCCAGAAACCCGACUCCACAAGCAGAUGUGCGGCUGCCCCAUGCCAACAUCCAGCCCUUUGCAAACCAGGAGACGACGUUUGUGUUCAGUCUGGAUUUGGGCAGCAGGUAAACACCGGCUGACACUCUGAAGUACGGGAAAGAAGAGCUACACCAGAGACACGUGCUGCGGCCCAGCAUAUGGGCCCAUGGCGUCCUCUUGCCACGGCAUUGGGAGCCCCAAACAAGAAACCUCCUUGGAGCUGGGAACACAAGGGACCUGGAGCCACUCGAUGAUCCAGAUUUGGGGACAAGUGUCCCUGUGGAGACAGCAGGCAGGCACCCGUGCUGGGCUCGGGGAAGGGGAACGCUUCCUGGUAGG
rnacentral:lncRNA from 1 species